rnacentral:rRNA from 1 species
UACGAGAGGCCCAAACGUUAUUCGGAUUUACUGGGCUUAAAGAGUUCGUAGGCUGCACAGAAAGUAGGGUGUGAAAGCCCUCGGCUCAACCGAGGAAUUGCGCUCUAAACUGCUGUGCUUGAGGAACCUAGAGGUGAGCAGAACUGAUGGUGGAGCGGUGAAAUGCGUUGAUAUCAUCAGGAAUACCGGAGGCGAAGGCGGCUCACUGGGGGUUUUCUGACGCUGAGGAACGAAAGCCAGGGGAGCGAACGGG